rnacentral:rRNA from 1 species
UGUCGUCAGCUCGUGUCGUGAGAUGUUGGGUUAAGUCCCCGCAACGAGCGCAACCCUCGUUCUAUGUUGCCAGCGGUUCGGCCGGGGACUCAUAGGAGACUGCCGGGGUCAACUCGGAGGAAGGUGGGGACGACGUCAAAUCAUCAUGCCCCUUAUGUCUUGGGCUUCACGCAUGCUACAAUGGUCGGUACAAAGGGUUGCGAUACUGUGAGGUGGAGCCAAUCCCAAAAAGCCGGUCUCAGUUCGGAUUGAGGUCUGCAACUCGACCUCAUGAAGUUGGAGUCGCUAGUAAUCGCAGAUCAGCAACGCUGCGGUGAAUACGUUCCCGGGCCUUGUACACACCGCCCGUCAAGUCACGAAAGUUGGUAACACCCGAAGACCGGUGGCUCGUAGUCGAUUGUGGAGAAGCCGAACAUGAGUCUACUAUCG